GCAUAUUAAGCGCGAAGCCCACUCCAAGAUUAGAAUUCCCUAUGAGAUCCCAGAGAGAAGAUCUGGUUGAUAGGCGCAAGAUGGAAGUACCGCAAGGUAUGGAGUCGAAGCGUACUAAUAGAUCCAUCGCCUUU
rnacentral:rRNA from 1 species